AGCCUUGAGGUGUUUACAUAUAAGAUUGCAAAUCUUAAGUAGCAGAGUAAUAUCUGCCGGGGCUU
rnacentral:tRNA from 1 species